UGGUGACUCUAGUGAUUUGAUCAAAGAAGGUGGUUUUGAUGCAGAUGUUGCAGAUCUUGAGUUACCCGAUUUGGGUUUUAUGAAUGAGCCAUUGGGGUCGUGCCCAGUUGAUGAAGACCUUAACCUGGGGUUGGAGUUUGGUAACCUCAUUGAUGAUUUUGGGCAACUUUAUGAUGAUUACUGUAACAUUGAAGAUCUAGACAUUUGCAAGUUAGACACCGAUGAACCAAGCGAGCUCCCUGAUUAUGAUU
rnacentral:misc_RNA from 1 species